UCCAGACUCCUACGGGAGGCAGCAGUGAGGAAUAUUGGUCAAUGGCCGGGAGGCUGAACCAGCCAAGUCGCGUGAGGGAAGACGGCCCUAUGGGUUGUAAACCUCUUUUGUCGGAGAACAAAACCCGGGACGUGUCCCGGACUGCGUGUAUCCGAAGAAAAAGCAUCGGCUAACUCCGUGCCAGCAGCCGCGGUAAUACGGAGGAUGCGAGCGUUAUCCGGAUUUAUUGGGUUUAAAGGUGGCGUAGGCGGCCCGUUAAGUCAGCGGUAAAAUUGCGGGGCUAAACCCCGUCGAGCCGUUGAAACUGGCAGACUUGAGUUGGCGAGAAGUACGCGGAAUGCGCGGUGUAGCGGUGAAAUGCAUAGAUAUCACGCAGAACUCCGAUUGCGAAGGCAGCAUACCGGCGCCCAACUGACGCUGAAGCACGAAAGCGUGGGUAUCGAACAGGAUUAGAUACCCGAGUAA
rnacentral:rRNA from 1 species